rnacentral:rRNA from 1 species
AAUCAACGCUGGCGGCGUGCCUAACACAUGCAAGUCGAACGAGAAAGUGGAGCAAUCCAUGAGUACAGUGGCGUACGGGUGAGUAACACGUGACUAACCUACCCUCGAGUGGGGAAUAACCUCGGGAAACCGGGGCUAAUACCGCAUAACAUCUUCGGAUCAAAUGCGUAAGCAAGCUUGGGGAGGGGUCGCGGCCGAUAGCUAGUUGGUGAGGUAAUGGCUCACCAAGGCAAUGAU